GUGGGGAAUAUUGGGCAAUGGGCGCAAGCCUGACCCAGCAACGCCGCGUGAAGGAAGAAGGCUUUCGGGUUGUAAACUUCUUUUAAGAGGGAAGAGCAGAAGACGGUACCUCUUGAAUAAGCCACGGCUAACUACGUGCCAGCAGCCGCGGUAAUACGUAGGUGGCAAGCGUUGUCCGGAUUUACUGGGUGUAAAGGGCGUGCAGCCGGGAAGACAAGUCAGAUGUGAAAUCCCGCGGCUCAACCGCGGAACUGCAUUUGAAACUGUUUUUCUUGAGUACCGGAGAGGUCAUCGGAAUUCCUUGUGUAGCGGUGAAAUGCGUAGAUAUAAGGAAGAACACCAGUGGCGAAGGCGGAUGACUGGACGGCAACUGACGGUGAGGCGCGAAAGCGUGGGGAGCAAACAGGA
rnacentral:rRNA from 1 species